rnacentral:rRNA from 1 species
AUUGAACGCUGGCGGAAUGCUUUACACAUGCAAGUCGAACGGCAGCACGGACUUCGGUCUGGUGGCGAGUGGCGAACGGGUGAGUAAUGUAUCGGAACGUGCCCAGUCGUGGGGGAUAACGUAGUGAAAAUUACGCUAAUACCGCAUACGAUCUAUGGAUGAAAGCGGGGGAUCGCAAGACCUCGCGCGAUUGGAGCGGCCGAUAUCAGAUAGGUAGUUGGUGGGGUAAAGGCCCACCAAGCCAACGAUCUGUAGCUGGUCUGAGAGGACGACCAGCCACACUGGAACUGAGACACGGUCCAGACUCCUACGGGAGGCAGCAGUGGGGAAUUUUGGACAAUGGGCGAAAGCCUGGUCCAGCCAUUCCGCGUGCAGGAUGAAGGCCCUCGGGUUGUAAACUGCUUUUGUACAGAACGAAAAGGUUUCUACUAAUACUAGGAGCUCAUGACGGUACUGUAAGAAUAAGCACCGGCUAACUACGUGCCAGCCGCCGCAGUAA